UAACUCGAUGACUUUGUGGCUG
rnacentral:siRNA from 1 species